rfam:Anolis carolinensis chromosome 2, whole genome shotgun sequence.
CCUUCGAUAGCUCAGCUGGUAGAGCGGAGGACUGUAGUGUGCUAACAAAGUCAUCCUUAGGUCGCUGGUUCGACUCCGGCUCGAAGGA